rnacentral:lncRNA from 1 species
AUGGAGCUUUCUGGGUAUCCAGAUUCAUGUCAAGACCUCACAGUAAGCUCAUCAAUGAUAAAGCUAACAGGGGAUAUUGCUGUUACUAUGGUAAGUGAUGAUGUUGGCCUAAACCACAGCACAGAUCAUCUGAUCUUCAUAUAUAUAUAUAGUGAGAGAGAGAGAGAGAGCACAAGCAGGGGGAGCAACAGGCAGAGGGAGAAGCAGCUCUCCACUGAGGAAAGAGCCCAACGUGGGGCUCGAUCCUGGGAUCCUGAGAUCAUGACCUAA